GGCCCGGAGGCUGGGGUACCGCCUCCUCUGCAACGCCGGGCCGGGAGUCUUAGAACCCAGGGCCCGCAAGGGUCCCCGCGCGGCUGCCGCGAUGCAGAAAUACGAGAAACUGGAGAAGAUUGGGGAAGGCACCUAUGGAACAGUGUUCAAGGCCAAAAAUCGGGAGACUCAUGAGAUUGUGGCUCUGAAACGGGUGAGGCUGGACGACGAUGACGAGGGCGUGCCGAGUUCUGCCCUUCGGGAGAUCUGCUUACUCAAGGAGCUGAAGCACAAGAACAUCGUCAGGCUCCAUGACGUCCUACACAGCGACAAGAAGCUGACUUUGGUUUUUGAGUUCUGCGACCAGGACCUUAAGAAGUAUUUCGACAGCUGCAAUGGUGACCUAGAUCCUGAAAUAGUGAAGUCAUUCCUCUUCCAGCUGCUUAAAGGCCUGGGCUUCUGUCACAGCCGCAACGUGCUACACAGGGACCUGAAGCCUCAGAACCUGCUCAUCAACAGGAAUGGGGAGCUGAAACUGGCUGAUUUCGGUUUGGCUCGUGCCUUUGGGAUCCCCGUUCGCUGUUACUCAGCUGAGGUCGUCACGCUGUGGUACCGCCCACCUGAUGUCCUUUUUGGGGCCAAGCUGUACUCCACGUCCAUCGACAUGUGGUCAGCCGGCUGCAUCUUCGCAGGUGACCUGUCUGGGUCUGCGGAGUUCCACUGGAGUGGAGGGUCCCUCCAGGGAAGGGAGUGGGGCCCCUGCAGUGGGAGUAAGGGGCGUGGGGGUGAGGGGCUCAUAUUGCCCCCACCUCUCUCCCAGAGCUGGCUAACGCUGGGCGGCCCCUCUUUCCUGGCAACGAUGUAGAUGACCAGCUGAAGAGGAUCUUCCGUCCUGGGGACGCCAACCGAGGAGCAGUGGCCUGCCAUGACCAAGCUGCCAGACUAUAAGCCCUACCCAAUGUACCCGGCCACAACGUCCCUGGUGAACGUCGUGCCCAAGCUCAAUGCCACAGGGCGGGACCUACUGCAGAACCUCCUCAAGUGUAACCCGGUCCAGCGCAUCUCGGCGGAGGAGGCCCUGCAGCACCCUUACUUCUCCGACUUCUGCCCCCCCUAGGCUCCAGGGCUGGGGGCCUGGCCUGUUCGAUGCCCCUUCUGGGGAGGGAGCGAAAGGCAGGGAUGCGCCAUGUGCCGAGCUCCAGCUGUGCUGGGCCGGCCAGGGUGGAGGUGCCCUCACCCAUGGUCUUCACUCCCUCCGUGGACUUUAUUUAAUUUCAUAAAUUGGCUCCUUUCCCA